rnacentral:rRNA from 1 species
GACGAACGCUGGCGGCGUGCUUAACACAUGCAAGUCGAACGGAAAGGCCCUGCUUUUGUGGGGUGCUCGAGUGGCGAACGGGUGAGUAACACGUGAGUAACCUGCCCUUGACUUUGGGAUAACUUCAGGAAACUGGGGCUAAUACCGGAUAGGAGCUCCUGCUGCAUGGUGGGGGUUGGAAAGUUUAGGCGGUUUGGGAUGGACUCGCGGCUUAUCAGCUUGUUGGUGGGGUAGUGGCUUACCAAGGCUUUGGCGGGUAGCCGGCCUGAGAGGGUGACCGGCCGCAUUGGGACUGAGAUAGGGCCCAGACUCGUACGGGAGGCAGCAGUGGGGAAUAUUGCACAAUGGGCGGAAGCCGGAUGCGGCAGCGCCGCGUGCGGGAUGACGGCCUUCGGGUUGUAAAACGCUUUCGCCUGUGACGAAGCGUGAGUGACGGUAAUGGGUAAAGAAGCACCGGCUAACUACGUG